AUGAUUUCUAGUAGGUGAGCGUGCGGAAGGAUCAAUUACACGAUUGUAACUUCAAAACCCUGCAACUUCAUGUGGUGCCUUCAUUGCGCACUCUUCAGUGUAUAACCUUUUUUUCAAUCACGACUCAGAUCAUUUCAAAAGUUUCUUACAACUUUGGGCGAUGGAUGUCUCGGCUCGAACAACGAUGAAGGACGCCGCUAAAUGCGAUAAGCGUUGUGAAUGGCAGAAUUCCGCGAAUCAAAAGAAAGCUGAACGCAUACUGCGCUCUUAGGAUCUCCCUAAGAGCAUGCUUGGUUCAGAGCGUUUACACAAUUAUGCUACGAGAAAAAAUUCGCAUCAAGCGGGUGUCUUCACGUAGUGUUUUCGUGUGUCAGUGACGCGUUCGCUUUGCGAGAUAUCUCCAGCGAGCUACCCAUUGACGCAUCAGAUCUAAUGACAAGUGCAGCCGAUGCUUUGGUCUUUGUCCGGCGUAUCUUCGGAUCCUCUGACAUUGUUGCAUGUGCAUCUUGCGCGUUAAGUUGUCAUCUCAGAGCAUUUUUACUCUUUGCGCAUGAACUCAAGUAGGGCUACCCGCUGAAUUUAAGCAUAUCAAUAA
rnacentral:rRNA from 1 species